CCUACGGGAGGCAGCAGUGGGGAAUUUUGCGCAAUGCUCGUAAGAGUGACGCAGCGACGCCGCGUGUAUGACGAAGGCCUUCGGGUCGUAAAGUUCUUUCGACAGGGAAGAAGAUGCAUAUAAUUAACUGUGUAUGUAUUGACGGUACCUGUAGAAGCAGCACCGGCUAACUCCGUGCCAGCAGCCGCGGUAAUACGGAGGGGGCGAGCGUUAUUCGGAGUGACUGGGCGUAAAGAGCACGUAGGCGGUGUGGUAAGUCAUUAGUCAAAGACCAGAGCUCAACUUUAGUACGGCAUGUGAUACUAGCAAACUAGAGGCUCAGAGAGGAGUGCAGAAUUCCUGGUGUAGCGGUGAAAUGCGUAGAGAUCAGGAGGAAUACCGUUAGCGAAGGCGGCAACCUGGCUGGAAACUGACGCUGAGGUGCGAAAGCGUGGGGAGCAAACAGGAUUAGAUACCCCUGUAGUC
rnacentral:rRNA from 1 species